rnacentral:rRNA from 1 species
CGGGCGUAUUAGUUAGUUGGGAGGCAAGGCUCACCAAGGCAGUGAUACGUACCCGACCUGAGAGGGUAAUCGGCCACAUUGGGAUGAGACACGGCCCAGACUCCUACGGGAGGCAGCAGUAGGGAUUCUUCCACAAUGGACGCAAGUCUGAUGGAGCAACGCCGCGUGAGUGAAGAAGGGUUUCGGCUCGUAAAGCUCUGUUGUUAAAGAAGAACGUGGGUAAGAGUAACUGUUUACCCAGUGACGGUAUUUAACCAGAAAGCCACGGCUAACUACGUGCCAGCAGCCGCGGUAAUACGUAGGUGGCAAGCGUUAUCCGGAUUUAUUGGGCGUAAAGCGAGCGCAGGCGGUCUUUUAAGUCUAAUGUGAAAGCCUUCGGCUCAACCGAAGAAGUGCAUUGGAAACUGGGAGACUUGAGUGCAGAAGAGGACAGUGGAACUCCAUGUGUAGCGGUGAAAUGCGUAGAUAUAUGGAAGAACACCAGUGGCGAAGGCGGCUGUCUGGUCUGCAACUGACGCUGAGGCUCGAAAGCAUGGGUAGCGAACAGGAUUAGAUACCCUGGUAGUCCAUGCCGUAAACGAUGAUUACUAAGUGUUGGAGGGUUUCCGCCCUUCAGUGCUGCAGCUAACGCAUUAAGUAAUCCGCCUGGGGAGUACGACCGCAAGGUUGAAACUCAAAAGAAUUGACGGGGGCCCGCACAAGCGGUGGAGCAUGUGGUUUAAUUCGAAGCUACGCGAAGAACCUUACCAGGUCUUGACAUCUUCUGACAGUCUAAGAGAUUAGAGGUUCCCUUCGGGGACAGAAUGACAGGUGGUGCAUGGUUGUCGUCAGCUCGUGUCGUGAGAUGUUGGGUUAAGUCCCGCAACGAGCGCAACCCUUAUUACUAGUUGCCAGCAUUAAGUUGGGCACUCUAGUGAGACUGCCGGUGACAAACCGGAGGAAGGUGGGGACGACGUCAAAUCAUCAUGCCCCUUAUGACCUGGGCUACACACGUGCUACAAUGGAUGGUACAACGAGUCGCGAAACCGCGAGGUUAAGCUAAUCUCUUAAAACCAUUCUCAGU